AGCAGUGUGGCAUAAUGGUUAGAGAACUGGACUUGCAACUCUGAGGUCAUGGGUUUGAUUCCCAGAUGUGACACUGCUG
rnacentral:tRNA from 1 species